rnacentral:rRNA from 1 species
UACAGAGGGUGCGAGCGUUGUUCGGAAUCACUGGGCGUAAAGGGCGCGUAGGUGGUGACCUAAGCGUGCGGUGAAAGCCCGAGGCUCAACCUCGGGUCGGCCGUGCGAACUGGGUCACUGGAGCAGAAUAGAGGCAGGUGGAAUUCCGGGUGUAGCGGUGGAAUGCGUAGAGAUCCGGAAGAACACCGGUGGCGAAGGCGGCCUGCUGGGUUCUGGCUGACACUGAGGCGCGACAGCGUGGGGAGCAAACAGG